rnacentral:rRNA from 1 species
CAGGCCUAACACAUGCAAGUCGUACGAAAGUUUUUAACUUAAGUGGCGGACGGGUGAGUAACACGUAAGAAUUUACCUUUAGGAGGGGGAUAACAACUGGAAACGGUUGCUAAUACCCCAUAUGCUUUCGAGUGAAAUGGAUUUUUCCGCCUAGAGAGAAGCUUGCGGCUGAUUAGCUUGUUGGUGAGGUAAUGGCUCACCAAGGCGACGAUCAGUAUCUGGUUUGAGAGGACGAUCAGACACACUGGAACUGAGACACGGUCCAGACUCCUACGGGAGGCAGCAGUGGGGAAUUUUCCGCAAUGGGCGAAAGCCUGACGGAGCAAUCUCGCGUGAGGGAUGACGGCCUAUGGGUUGUAAACCUCUUUUCAGGGAGGAAUAAAAUGACGUGUACCUGAAGAAUAAGCAUCGGCUAACUCCGUGCCAGCAGCCGCGGUAAGACGGAGGAUGCAAGUGUUAUCCGGAAUCACUGGGCGUAAAGCGUCUGUAGGUGGUUUAGUAAGUCAACUGUUAAAUCUUGAAGCUCAACUUCAAAACCGCAGUCGAAACUACUAGACUAGAGUAUAGUAGAGGUAAAGGGAAUUUCCAGUGGAGCGGUGAAAUGCGUAGAGAUUGGAAAGAACACCGAUGGCGAAGGCACUUUACUGGGCUA